rnacentral:rRNA from 1 species
AACGAACGCUGGCGGCAUGCCUAACACAUGCAAGUCGAACGAGACCUUCGGGUCUAGUGGCGCACGGGUGCGUAACGCGUGGGAACCUGCCCUUAGGUUCGGAAUAACUCCCCGAAAGGGGUGCUAAUACCGGAUAAUGUCUUCGGACCAAAGAUUUAUCGCCUUUGGAUGGGCCCGCGUUGGAUUAGCUAGUUGGUAGGGUAAAAGCCUACCAAGGCGACGAUCCAUAGCUGGUCUGAGAGGAUGAUCAGCCACACUGGGGCUGAGACCCGGCCCAGAACCGUAGGGAGGGGAGCAGUAGAGAAUAUUGGGCAAUGGGCGAAAGCCUGAUACAGCAAUGUCGCGGGAGUGAUGAAGGCCUUAGGGUUGUAAAGCUCUUUUACACGGGAUGAUAAUGACAGUACCGGGAGAAUAAGCUCCGGCUAACUCCGUG